CCAUAUUCUCGGACAGACUCUGUCCUUACAGUGCAAAAGGACCAGCAGCUACUCCAGGCUUCUGUCCCACCAAGUGCAUCACCACGCUGAGCAGGUCAAAGCGAGACAGGUACUGGGACCUACCUCCUGCCCUUGACACCUUGCUCAAGGAUUCAUAGAGACCAUCCAAACCCCCUUCCUGGCCUGGGCUGGCUAAGCUUGCUGGCCCGGGCUCCCUUGGACCACCUUGCCCAAUGGGGCAAGACAUCAGUCUCUGCUUCUCCAGAGUCCCUCCAUCCUGCUGCCUGCUCUGUCUAUACCACCAACACCUUUUCUCCGUGGCCCAGCCACUGUGCUCUGCUCUAAGUCAUGUGCAGUUACCAGAGGGUACCGGCCAGCUGGUGGUCUACAGGGGCCCAUCUGAGGUGGAGGACCCUCCAGCUCACGGGUUAUGUUCAACGGGCACCUCCAUCUACAAUAGCUCCCCAAACCCACCAGCUAGAAACCCUACGGUGCGUGGUGAGUGUUGGUCCACAGAACGACCACCCAGAAUGGAGCUCCAUCCACAGUGGAGGGUAAACCAGCAGCCUCAGCAAGGGGCCACAGGAGUCAUUAGGAGAUGCUGCAUCCUGCACUCAGGGACAGGGGACAGUCCCGCCUGCAGGCCAAUCACAACUUUAUUGAGCUGGGCCCAGCAUCAGGGUCCCCCAUUCCCAAGGCUACAAGAUCUGAAAGACAGCAGCUGACACCACAGCUUCUGGAACUUCAUUGCAUUUUUCUGUCCCCUGAAUCACCCAGAAUUUGAAGACUCCAAGCUAGGCAUGCACCAGAAACUCAACAGGUGUUUGUGGAAGCUAAAAUGUUUCUCAUCCGUCUGCCUUGGCCCCAUCUGUAACACUCACCCCUUCCUCCCUAUUGCAAUUUCCUGAGGGAUCACCCCUCACCAUCACGAGGCCAGUGGCUAUAGCAUAGGGAGGCUUGGCUGCUGUGGCUUGGGUAGAAGAAUCUGCUUGGAUUGCUCACCUAAUUUCAGUUUUUCGUCAAUAAUAUAGAAAUAUGAGUAGCCCUCUUUCCAUUGCAAGUAAAAGAAACCCAAGCUCAAACAUUACUUAAGCAGAAGGAAAAAUGUGAGGAUUCAAGUUAAUAAAACAUCCAGAGUGAGGACUUCAGGCACAGUCGGAUCAAGGGGCACAAGCCCAGUGCUCAAGGCUCAUUCUCUGGGCCACACUAGCCUCUGAGUUGGUUUUGUGUGGAUGGGCUCCUUCUUCUGUGCCUGUGUUUGAAUCUGCACUCCCCUAACACAGAUCCUGAGACAGAUAUUUGAGUGAAAAUCUUUUAUUUGGGAGUUUUGGGAGGUAGGAAGUGAGACAGGGAAGGGAAACACUCAGCAUAGUACAUUGCUAAGCAAAUUACCCCUACGGGUACCUGGAGGUUAAGCCCACUGAGGAAGCCAGGGAGACUGUUCAGCACGUGCCCCAGGGUUGUUCUGCCUGAGGGGCGAGGGAGCUGGGCUGUUUGCCCACCAUUGCGCAUCCGUCCAUCCAGUUAAUUCCUGGCACCUGGUGAGCUCACUCCCCAGCCGGGGAAAGCUCUGAGGCACGGACCUGUAGGAAGCAAUGCCUGGGGUUUGCUCUGUUUGGACCAACCGAUUCUUGUUCCGGCCUCUGAGCCAAUCACUCUGGCUAGCACUGAUUGGCCGAGAGGGUCACGUGUCCUGGCCUCCGCGGAAUCUGCUCAAAGUCCUGUUAGGUCACGGGCACACCCCAGAACUUGGCACACGCGGGCUGAGCCUGUAUCGCGUGUUCGCCAGGCCUCCUGCUGGUCCUCCCCAAACCAUACGGCCGAAGACGAGGGGAGGAAAAGGGGGUGUUAUAACCAGGAAAAAAGGGACCAGUAGCUGAGUAGGGGGAGACCACAGACCUCACCCCCAGAGACCCAUUGGGUCGUUUGAGAAUCAAGGACAGUCAGCUGCGGAGUGUGGAGGGCAAAGCUCGGCACCUGACGGGCACCUGGGGCUCGUCUAAGCCAGCGACCCCCACGCCCCACGGGGUCCGCGGAUGUGCCGCCCUAAGCCUGCCGCUUCGGUUCCCCCUUUUCGGGGCUUUCUUUUUUCUUCCGCUAGAUUUUUGCAUUUUUCUGAAGUCUCGGACUUUGUUUUUUUAUAUAUAUAUACAGAAAAGAAAAUGGGGAAAAAAAUUUUUUUAAGCUGCAAGCCAGAGCUGCCUGUGCCUGCUGCCUUCCCCGACCCUCGCAUCAGCUUUGCGAGAGUGUGCUCGCUCCCCAGACGGCAGAGGCAGCCAUCGGGUCGGGGGCCAGGCCUCGGCAGCGGCAGGCGACGGUGAUGGGGGGGCAGCCGGCCCCAUUAAGUCAGCACAACCCGCCCGGGCGUGGGCGAGCAGAGUCCUCCGAUUUGGCCCUCGUCAAGGGAACCAUGCAAGCAGCCGGCUAAAUUCUACGGCCUCGUGGCUCAAACACAGGCUCAUCACAGGCUCUCCUAAGGUCUAGCUGGGGCUUCCUGGCAUUAUGCUUUCAUCCGGGACACGCUUAUUGAGUACUUGCUACCUGCCAGGCACCGUCCUAGACACGGGGGACACUGCAGUGAACGGAGAAGCCCAAACCCCUGGCUUGGUGGAGCGUACAUUCCAGCAGAGAUAACUAAUUGUAAAGGUAACGAUUAGACAACUGACUUUGAGGAAAGCUAGCCACCAUGUCAUGAAGACACUCAAGCAGCUCUAGGGAGUGGUCCACACGUGAGGAACUGAGGCCUCCUGCCAAGGGCCAUGUUGAGUGCGCCAUCUUGGAAGCAGAUCCUCCAGUCCCAGUUGAGCUUUCAGAAGAUGGCAGACCCCACCAACAUCUUGACUGCAACCUACAAGAGACCCUGAGCCAAAACCAUUCAUCUAAGCCACUCCCGGAUUCCCGGCUCUUGGAAAUCGAGUGAGAUAAUAAAUGUUCAUUAUGUUGAGCUGCAAUCCCAGUUUCUGGAAUCGACCCUGAAGAUACACUUCCAAUGAUACUACACAGAUAUACUGUCUUUGAAAAGCCUCAGCACAAAGGCCCUGUGCUUACAUGACCUGGUAGGUGGGGGGAGCACCCCCACCCUGAUGCCUCCUUUCCGGACUUGGAGAUGCCCCCGGGGACGAUGCGAACUCUGCCCGGCCGCCACUCGCUGCCUGCCCUUGGUCAGAGAAAGCGGGCCCACUCCUGCACUGCCAGGGACCAGCCUCAACGCCUCCCCCAUUGGGGCUAUGGAGGGGGCAGGCGUCCACUCUCUCCCCACUCCCUGGGGCUCCUCCAGUUGGACCCUACAGAGCCAGGCAGAGGUAUGGCCGAGGGGCAGUGGGUCGCCGGUGGGCGGAGACCCUCCCUAACAUUCCUGGCCUCCUCCAAGCCUCUGAACUGUCUUAGAGAUCGAGACUUUAUGAGAGAAAAGGUUAAUGCCUGACCUUGGGGAGAGCCCCCCUCUUGCCCUGCCCUUCCUUCGUGGAUUGCACCCCUGCCCUUUGCUUCCCGUGGCUCCCUCUCCACCGGUCUCCCGUGUGCCUGUCCCCCACCUGGAAGGUGCCUUCCUCUGCGCCACCCAACGCUGAUUGUGUCCACGAGAUUCUCGGGAGGCCUCGAGCCACAUCCCGCCCUGAGCCUCGGUCUCUUCCUAUGAUGAAGCAGGAGCACAGAGUGCGGGUGAGCAUGAGAGAGGGUGCCUGUCUCUCGCUUCACUGGGCGGCCAGGCAGUGCCUCAGGACAGAGUGUGACACACGUGCAGCCAAGUUGAAGGCAGUAAGUACCACCCAGGGAAGAGACCGGUGCACGACGAAGACCACAGAGAACACACACACACACACACACACACACACCCCCCGAGCUCAGGUGGUCAGGUGGGGCGGGGUUUACUCGCAGCGAGGUUGGAGAGGACAGAUGCACAAGCGCCAGCCCCUUGCGGUGCCUCAGUCCCCCAUGGGCUGCCCGCACCCCACUUCCUGCUGCAGCGGAAGGGCCCCAACCCAUCCCGUGUAGGGUCUGAAAUACAGGCAGCCGCGGGCCCGCCUGAGGGCCACUGACCCGCACGCUCGAGCAGAACGAAGGAACACGCACUGGGUCUGAAAUAGGUAAAGGCACCCCCAUGCGAGGCAAUCAUCCCUUCACAGCCUGCGGGGGCUCCCUACCUCCUGAGAAAGAAGGGUUCCAGGCCAGGGUCCAUCCUUAUGUGACCAAGCAGGGACCAAACGGCUGCCUUUCCCAGCACAGCUCGUUAAGUGGCACCUGUUAUUUUACCUCCAGGCUUUCUCCCCUUUCCCUCCGGGGGCCAUACCUCCACUCGCCAUUAUUUCGCAGGCUGUGAAUCCCUGACCCUCCCCAUCCACCCAUACACUAAGGGGGCGGGGUAUCCUGCAGAGCAGAUCACCGUUCCCACCCAUCUCGGGACACUUAACCCUCUGGUGUUUCAGGGUAUCCACCUAUAAUGUGGAGCCCCACGCCACAUUCGUGGGCCGUGGACCUCCUCUUCGAACAGCGGCUGCCCCUCCCCUCACAACCUGUGCCAUUUUACGGGAUUGUUACCUUGUGGCAAUGGAGACAAGUGGCAGCUACAUACCCGGUCUCCAUGGCUCCGUCCAUAUCAUGGAGCUCCAAGAUCUUAAUGUCCCUGUGGUGCAACUUUUAACUUCUUCUUAACUAAGAAUUAGCUCAGAGGUAAUUGCUUAAAUCGCACCGAUGAAAAUCAAUACGGAGUAAAUUAAACGAAAAGCAAAAUUUAUCCUGAACGUGUUCCUUGUCGCCUUUGAAUAAUGCGAUGACAAAGCAACUAUUUUACCUCCCAGGCUUGAAGUCUUUGUUCUUGGACAUCUCGAACGGAGAUGUAAUUAUAGGGCCCAUUUAUCAAAAAGAUUAAGGAAAUCGGGGAAUGGGAAUUGGUUUGCAACAGUUUUGCGGAAAUUAGAUCAACGUGACUCUCGGGUCUGCGUUUUUCAUGCCGUGUCCGGAAAGUUUCUCCAAUUGCACCGUUUUCUGGCUUCCCUCCCAGCCCCACAAAUCAACAAUCACACACAAGGUUGAUCCAGAGGGAGUGUCGGAGCCGAGCGCAGGAGGCCAAAGAAAGGCCCUGCGUCCCGUCCUAACAUGGAAGCCUGGGCCUCUCCACACUGGCGGGAGAAAGACUUGUUUUUCUCAACCCUCGUUGCCAAGGAUACGGCAUCCGAUCCUCCGGAUCUGAAUGAAAGAGCCUGGUUUCCGGGGUUUUUUGUGCAUUUCAUAAUUUAGAAUGCGUUUGGCUUUCAUUUGCAACCCGGCCUGCCAGCCCAUCUCCCCACAGCUCUGCAAAGCUAACCCGUAAUGAACAUGAAUAAAUCAAACCUUCUCUGCUCCG